UGCUGGAGGUAUCAGAAGUGCGAAUGCUGACAUAAGUAACGAUAAAGCGGGUGAAAAGCCCGCUCGCCGGAAGACCAAGGGUUCCUGUCCAACGUUAAUCGGGGCAGGGUGAGUCGACCCCUAAGGCGAGGCCGAAAGGCGUAGUCGAUGGGAAACGGGUUAAUAUUCCCGUACUUGGUGUUACUGCGAAGGGGGGACGGAGAAGGCUAUGUUGGCCGGGCGACGGUUGUCCCGGUUUAAGCGUGUAGGUGUGUGUUCCAGGUAAAUCCGGUUCACUUUAACACUGAGGCGUGAUGACGAGGCACUACGGUGCUGAAGCAACAAAUGCCCUGCUUCCAGGAAAAGCCUCUAAGCAUCAGGUAACAUCAAAUCGUACCCCAAACCGACACAGGUGGUCAGGUAGAGAAUACCAAGGCGCUUGAGAGAACUCGGGUGAAGGAACUAGGCAAAAUGGUGCCGUAACUUCGGGAGAAGGCACGCUGACACGUAGGUGAAGUGAUUUACUCAUGGAGCUGAAGUCAGUCGAAGAUACCAGCUGGCUGCAACUGUUUAUUAAAAACACAGCACUGUGCAAACACGAAAGUGGACGUAUACGGUGUGACGCCUGCCCGGUGCCGGAAGGUUAAUUGAUGGGGUCAGCGCAAGCGAAGCUCCUGAUCGAAGCCCCGGUAAACGGCGGCCGUAACUAUAACGGUCCUAAGGUAGCGAAAUUCCUUGUCGGGUAAGUUCCGACCUGCACGAAUGGCGUAAUGAUGGCCAGGCUGUCUCCACCCGAGACUCAGUGAAAUUGAACUCGCUGUGAAGAUGCAGUGUACCCGCGGCAAGACGGAAAGACCCCGUGAACCUUUACUAUAGCUUGACACUGAACAUUGAGCCUUGAUGUGUAGGAUAGGUGGGAGGCUUUGAAGUGUGGACGCCAGUCUGCAUGGAGCCGACCUUGAAAUACCACCCUUUAAUGUUUGAUGUUCUAACGUGGACCCGUGAUCCGGGUUGCGGACAGUGUCUGGUGGGUAGUUUGACUGGGGCGGUCUCCUCCUAAAGAGUAACGGAGGAGCACGAAGGUUGGCUAAUCCUGGUCGGACAUCAGGAGGUUAGUGCAAUGGCAUAAGCCAGCUUGACUGCGAGCGUGACGGCGCGAGCAGGUGCGAAAGCAGGUCAUAGUGAUCCGGUGGUUCUGAAUGGAAGGGCCAUCGCUCAACGGAUAAAAGGUACUCCGGGGAUAACAGGCUGAUACCGCCCAAGAGUUCAUAUCGACGGCGGUGUUUGGCACCUCGAUGUCGGCUCAUCACAUCCUGGGGCUGAAGUAGGUCCCAAGGGUAUGGCUGUUCGCCAUUUAAAGUGGUACGCGAGCUGGGUUUAGAACGUCGUGAGACAGUUCGGUCCCUAUCUGCCGUGGGCGCUGGAGAACUGAGGGGGGCUGCUCCUAGUACGAGAGGACCGGAGUGGACGCAUCACUGGUGUUCGGGUUGUCAUGCCAAUGGCACUGCCCGGUAGCUAAAUGCGGAAGAGAUAAGUGCUGAAAGCAUCUAAGCACGAAACUUGCCCCGAGAUGAGUUCUCCCUGAGACUUAGAGUCUCCUGAAGGAACGUUGAAGACGACGACGUUGAUAGGCCGGGUGUGUAAGCGCAGCGAUGCGUUGAGCUAACCGGUACUAAUGAACCGUGAGGCUUAACCUUACAACGCCGAAG
rnacentral:rRNA from 2 species